CUCGACCGAGGGCGGUUCGACGUGGUGACCGCGAGCGUAUGGGCUGGUGACACCGAGCUCCAGGCUGGGGCGGUUCCCCGGGGUGUAGCAAGCGUGUGAGCUGCGACGCCGAGCUCGCCGUGCUCGCGACGAGAGAGGGAGGUGAUGAUGGGUGGGUGUAACACUCCAGGUUCCACAAACAACCCGGUAUGCUACUGUACUACACUUCCGACGUCCAUAUAUAAAAUUUCGGCAGCAUCCCCUUUGCAAGAUUGCAUAAAAGAGGGAGCAACAGAGUAUAAACAUAUAUCAUGACUAAAACAUACUAAGUAUUAUUACUCGGCUAACAAGGAAAGAUAAACAUACGACCUGAACUGAAUUAACCAGUGCGCAUGACCAUAUAAAAAAAUAAACAAACUUCCUUUGACAAUAAGUUUCUAAUUAAAUCAUGGCUGCGCCUGGGCAGCGUUAUUGUGAGAGUGAAAGUGGACGUGCUGCUACUCCCCUCAUUCCCAACAUGUAUCAAGUACCUGCAUUGAGUAAUGCAAGAGUGAGAUGACACAUCUCAGCAAGUAAAAUAAUAUCAAACAGUUUAACCACAUAAGAACAUUGUUUUACCACCACUUAAUUCCACAACCUUCUUAUUACGAAGGUGCAGCACGUAUACAACGUACAACGCACCUAGUUACCACACCUCGCAGGUAGAAACCACAAUAGUAACAUAGUAAUGUCACACUUCAUAUAUUCCUCAUGAGUGCAAAUGUCUGCAAAUGCAAGGAUGACUUCUGCCUUCAUACCUCUAAGGAUAUGAAGCCGCAUCGUACCCCUCCUCGGGCAACGUACGAUGCUAAAAAUGUACCGGUACGGUCGGACCAUAAGAUCACGACAUAACUUCAAAAUGCAAGAUGGAUGAUGCGAUGUGCAUGUCAUGCCUACAACACUUCAUAUAACAUGAUUCAAAAAGACACUUCAACUUCAUCCAGAUGGGAAUCAACCACAUAUAUCAUUACCAAAUUAUGAUCAUCCACAAUAUUAGACAAUUGAGAAUUAAUACUUCCAAACAAAUAAACUUCAUCAUAGAAUUCAAUGAUUAACAUAAUUAAAACUUAUGCAUACUCAAUGACAGGGAAUAGGAUGCAAACCGAACGGUAGCAACCACCACUGUAUUUACUUGCUUUUACCGGAAGUUCGGGCAAAUCCCUAAGUACGAUCCGGAAGUACACCACCUGUUUUUGACACCCAACUUAGUACACCAAUUUCACAUAAUCAGGCUCAUAAGCGACACCGCACCUACGCACAAACUCAAACCCCGCCGCGGGUUACAUCUCUCCCUACACCCACCAAACUGCAGCGGCGCUGCUUAAUAAUUUCAUAACUUUAAAAUUAUGACAGCAGUGGUAACAAACAAAAACUCCAGAGGCAUCUACAUAAAAUUCCUCACAAAUUUUGUAUACACUUUAUAAUUAAAUUCCAAUAUCUAAUUAGCCCAAAACAGUCCAGAAGAUGAACCCUGUAAUCUGUUUUUCUUUGUCUUUUGGACAGCGACAUACCCAGAUUCAAACAGCGAUAUCUUUUAAAAUAUAAUUCCAAAUCAAGCGCAUAAGUACUCAUUGGAAAGAUAAGACAAAUCCCUACAUGAUUACCAUACUGGUUAACACUAAUUACCCACGAAAAAUUCCCAGAAACUGCUAAUACCACUGCUGUUCACCCACCUGAAAAAUCUGUUUUUUUGGACAGCAACAUAACCGGAUUCAAACAACGAUAUCUCCUGAAUUAUAACUCCGAAUCGAGCGCAUAAGUACUUGUUGGAAAGAUAACAUAAAGCCCUACAUGAUUCUCAUACUGAUUAACACUAAUUACUCCCGAAAAAUCCCUAGAAACUGCUAAUACUGCUGCUGUUCAUCCCCUGAAAAAUCUGUUUUUUUGGACAGCCACAUACCCGGAUUCAAACGGUGAUACCUUUCAAUUUAUAACUCCAAAUUGAGCGCAUAAAUACUCGUUGGAAAGGUAAGGUAAAGUUCUACAUGAUCCCCAAAAUGAUUUCCCUUAAUUCCUCACGAAAAAACACAGAAACUGCUAGACUACUGCUGUUCACCCACCACCUAAACUUCUGGACAGCCCCCCUCUACCCCAAUCGCAAACGCAACCUCUAAUCAAUUAAAUUGCAGCGCAAAUGAACAAGGGAUGAACACAAAAAUCACCUUGGAUUUUCCCCCUUUCCUUCCUCCCUUCUUCGCUCCACCAAAACGAUUGAAGACUCGCACCACGACGACGAUGAUCCGAGCGGCAAGGAUUGGCACCUUGGGAGGAGGGGAUUGAGAGGGGGGCGGCUAGGGUUUGGUGGCUGCAAGAAUUGAGAGAGGAAGAGAUGGGCAGGGGGGUCGGCGGCCAAGGGGGAAGAGAAGUGGGGGGGGGGGGGGCGGCUGCACAUGGGGGGAGGGGGUUAGGAGGGAGGCGGCUAGGGUUUGGGAGGGUUAAUGGGCCGAAACUCCAAUUGCGGCCCAACUAACCCACGCGACAGCUCCCGACCGCAACGCAAGCGUCAAACCAAAUAAAUUCUACUGCCCUAGUUGUGAAUGUUUUCCACAAAAUCCCAAAUCCCCAAAACAACAACCGGAUGAGGAAAAAAACAAAAAGAACAACCCCCAACUUCUCUUCUUUGCAAACCUGGUAUCACACUCUACCCCUCUUAAAAAGAAUUCGACCUCGAAUUCUGACGCUUCUAUCGGAACAACAAAAGAAAGGUUAAUGAAUCAACAAAACUCACACAUAAAGAAAAGUUCGAGUACUUCUGUCGUAUCAGCUCCUCAAGCUCCUAGGAUUCUAAGAUAUGCAGCAGACGACACUCUAGAGUCUGCUCUUGCUAGACAGGAAUCGGCUCUAGCUCGAUUUGAUGGUCUGGAUUCCGCAAAUACUUCCUCAACAAAAAUACAUGGAAUACUUGGUGUAAUCUGAUCACAGAUUCCGACAAUUACAUGUGCUAAGCCCAGCUGCCAACUCGGCCAAGAUAGCAGACGGUCCUAUAUACCUCGGACCAAGCUUUCCUGACACCAAAUCAAUCAUUGACAUAUGCAAGUACUUCAAGGAAUGUAUAUAUGAAUGCAAGGCAUAUAACGUUCCUAUAGGCUAAACCAAACUUAGUCACACAAGAGCAACUUCAAGAGAGCAACUUAAUGCUUGCAUAUUUCUAGAUAGCAGCACAUCGGUUAAUUGUUUUGCUCCUAACUCACAAAAAUAUGCAUCGAAAAUUAGUAAACUAGGACUUUAUGGAAAACUUAUAAAGUCCACUAUACCCUUGGUAUUAUCAUCACAACAAGAUUUGACACUUAGAAAGGUCAAACAGUGCUAAACGUAAAUUCUGUCCAGACUUGGACAUAAUUCAACUACUCAAUUCAAAAAUCCAUAAUUGGAGUCUCAAUCAUCCAAUUCAGGUGCUCCCAGACUUUUUAGAAAGCUAGUAGAAUUGUCUAUGAUUCAUUUAUAAACAUAUCAAGUUAAUUCAAUGCAUAUUAAGGUCAAAAGACACGAGAAAGGCUCUACUGUCCAAAUUUGGACAGAUUCAGAGAUCACACUUAAAACAGCUGUAACUUAACUUAUAGAUCUCCAAAAAAAAUUAAUCCAAAAUUUGUUGUAACGAUUAAGAAAAGUACUACAACUUAUUUAUAAUUUAUAAUAAGUUAUUCGAAGUUUAAAUUGGGCAAACAAGGUCAGCUUCGAAAUCUGUAUAGAAUCUGCACAGAUUUCAAGACUGGACUUGAGAAAAUCAUAACUCCCAAACUACUAGACCUAUGGUCAUGACAUUUUUACACAAGUAAGAUAAAUAAGUUUGCUACAACUUUUAUAUAUAACAUCUCUACAGAAAAGAUGGUUUACUUCACUGAACUAGCUGCAUAACUAAAACUGGUCAUGCAGUCCCAAUAGCAAGCAAUAGAUUUUAUCAGGUUCAUUACUGUUGGGAACUUGUUCUCAAAUGCUAUGAAUUAAGAACAAGGCAACAUAAAAUGUUAAAUGAAAUUGUCCUUCGUCCGCGAAGCAUUAUUCCUUUGAGGAUAAUGAAUCCUAUGCCUUGACAAAGGUUGAAUUCCGAAAGAUGCAAUUGCAAAUGCCAGAAUGCGUGAACAGUAACGGAAUACUGUUCACUAUUUAUAGGCAUAGGACGCAGCCUGUGAGGAAUUACAAGUAUGCCCCUUAUAAAAACUUACAACAUUGACUCAGACCUUUAUGGACUAAAAGGUCAUUCUAUCUUUAAGUCGGUUUGUAAUGCCGAAGCUCUGCGAAGAGGCACCUUCGGCUAUCUUGUACGAACAGCUUCAUCCGAGGAUUACUUCUUUCUAUAAGACCUUCGGCGACGAAGCAUAGACCCAACAGUAGCCCCUUUCGCGGUGCUAGAUCGUUUUUCGUAACGAGCUUGAUCCGUGAAAAAAGUUUCUUAAGCUUCAAAGCGCCGAAGGUCUCAAAAAACACCUUCCCUGAGCUCGUUGUCGAGAAACGAUCGGAUUUCCCUGCGCGCAGCGGCCCCACCUUGCAGAGUUACUGUUCGGUCACUGCGGUCCACCGUACAGCGAGUGCGAGCGGGUGUCCGCCUGGUGUGAAACUCCUGGCGCUUCGCCUUCUUACCUGCGGCACUAUAUAAACAGAUGAGUAGGUGUGAAGUUACCACAGCAUUUACUGCUAUUUGCACUGUUUUGCUGCCAAAAUUUUUAACCAUCGCCGAAGCUUGUUUGUCAGAAUUGAACGAAGCUCCAUCCUGAAACCUGCUUCGGAGAAAAAAGUAUUAAAGUUUCACAAGUUCAUAGUUAAAUGGCCAGAGUCCGUUCUACCGCUAGGGUUGAGCGUGAGGGGGACGAGACUGAAGCUUCGGAGACUGUCCCUAUCUCUGAAGCUAUGCAACGAUCCGGGUUAGUGACUUCGGAGAAGAUUCCUGGUGAUUAUGCGGAACAAACUGUCGCUGAAGCAGAAGGAGAAGAUGCUGGGGAAACUGACCCCGAAGAUGAUUAUCACCUUGCCACUCCAAGCAAACCUAGUCAUUUGGACUUCGGGAAAUCUACUGUUUCGAAGGCUGAUUUGUCCAAGAUGGUAAAAUCAGGCUAUUUUACUGAAAAUCAAAAGAAGCUAUUACGCUUCGGGGGAGAAGAGACUACCCCGAAGCCGGAGAAAGAUGAGAUUGUUAUUUUUAAGAGCUUCCUAAAGGCUGGAUUAAGAUUCCCCCUUCAUGGGAUUAUUGCAGAGAUACUGAAGAACUUCGGAAUUUAUUUUCACCAGCUAACCCCUAACGCUAUCGUUAGGCUCAGUGUUUACAUCUGGGCACUCCGAAGCCAAGCGGUAGAACCGUUUGCGGACAGCUUCUGCCGAGUUCACGAACUGCACUAUCAGACAAAGGCUAGGAAGGAUGGAUUACAUGAGAAUUUUGGUUGUUAUAAUUUUGCUUAUCGGAAAACUACGAAGUAUCCUGUGAUCAGCUACCGAAGCAAAUGGGCAGCAGGGUGGAAAUCAGAAUGGUUCUAUGUUAAGGUUGAUGAUGAUAAAGAAAAGCUUGUGCAAAGUCCACUGGAACUGACCUUCGGAGAAACUCGCCCCCAGUGCCACAUGUUACCAGAGGGUCCAACUCAAAAAGCAAUGCUUGAAUUCAAAAUAAUUGCAGAGAAUAUUAGUACAAGGGACCUGGUCCAGGAAUUCUUGGCCUUCAAGGUUUUUCCUAGUGUAAAAGAGUGGGAAAUGCCGAAGCUGAAGGGGGAGAAGAAAAAAGGUGAACUUGUACGUUUGCCUUACUACUUCAAAUUUAAAAAAUAUUUUAAAACUCCUUGCCAAGAGGGGCUGGAUACAAUUGAAGUGAUGUGCAACGAGAUACUUGGUAAUUAUUCGAAAAAAGAAGAUCAAUUGAUGACCGCAGCCUUCGGCACCCGUCCGAAACGAAGGCUAAAUCGAGUAUUUGACGCCUUGGGUUUCGAAUACCCAGACUAUGAAGAUCUGAACAAAGGUGCCGGAGGGCAAAAAAGGAAAAGGGCGACUGAAGCCUUAGAUGAAGGUGAAAAAGAGCCAGUAAAGAAGAAAAUUUCAAAGAAAAAGAAACCUUCUUCUCCGAAGCAACAAAUAUCCGAAGCAGAAGAAACCCCCGCAUCACCUUCUGCUGCUGUUGUUGAAGAAAUUCUGAAGGUAAUGACUGAAUCCUUACCUGCGAAGCUAAGUCCACUGGGUCCUCAACUGACUAAGUUUUUUCAGAAGGACAAGGAGCCUGAGAAAUUGAGGAAAACAAUCAAGGGAAAGAAACAAAGAAUCAUUACCGUGACAGAGGUAAUUGACAAAACGCCGCCAAGAGCUUCGGCCCAAAAAACGCAAGCAGCAGCAGAGGGGGCAGACAUUGAAAUUGCACCUUCGGAGGCCGCAGCCGCCGAAGUUACCUCAGCUGAAGAUUUGAAUUUAGAGAGCACAAUUGAACAUAUUGACCAAAUGCUGCUAGACAUGGCUGCAGAAGAAGCUGCCGCUGCUGCCGAAGAUACUGUGACCGCAGCGUCAAAGAAGGGAAAAGAAAUUGCUGACGAAGCUUCAGAAAACGAAACCUUCGCGUUCCAAAACUUAGUUGGAGAGCAUCUAACAAAAGCUGAAAUAGAAGAGCUUAAAGAGUAUGCCCAAUCCUGUGGAUACAAACCUGGGGCACUCCUCUUCGGAGGCGUUGAUGAUGAGAAAUUAGAGUGUAUUCGGGACCAAACAGGGGCCAAAGUCAUCAGCACUCUGUCCAAGAGUAUUGGAUUCCCGAAGCUAGAAGCAGAUAUCAGCCGCUACCGACGACAACAUGUCGUUGGUAGUUUGUUUUACUCCAACUUCAAGGUAAAUGAUUUGUCCCUUAACUUUUAUUGCUUCUAAUAAAAACAUGUCUGACGAAGGUUGUGUUUGUGUAGAGUAUGCUAUUGAGCAAAGCCUUGCAAAUGCAGCAAGACCUUGAAGAUAAAAAGCAUGAAGUUAUAAUUGGAAAUUUGGAAAACAAAAUAAAGGAGCAAUCAGAUGCUUUUGAGAAAAAGAACUUUGAACUCCAGGCAGCCGAAGGUUUACUGGCGGAAGCUGAAGCAAAAAUAUCAGAACUGAACACGAAGCUUCUUCGCCAGUCUGAGCAGUUCGAACAAGAAAAACAAGAUCUCAAUGCAAAACUUGAAGCCGAAGCUCAGCAAAAUUCGGAUUUAAGAAAACUACUGACAAAUCUUCAAGAAAAAUGCCUGGAAUUUAGCAACAAAUGCAUACAACGACUAAGAAAGAUUUUUCACUCAGUUGGAGCUAGCAGCGAAAAAUUUACCCCCUCAGCUGAAGAUCUACCAAAAACUUUCGAACACAUUGAGGGGGAGAUUGAAGAGCUCGACGAAGUCAUAGCCGGGCAUGGCGACUUCUGUGCCUGGGUGGCUUCUCGAGGGACUGCUGCAGCCUUCCUGAAGGCUGGCUGUGAUCAUGGGAAAAUUGUCAACAGGCCAAAUUUCACUUUGUCGCCAUCAAUCCUGGAUGACAUCCCUGAUCUCGCCCGAAGCAUCUCGAAUCGAUUUGUGAAAAUGAUAUGGACAAAAGGUGGUCGAGAGAAAGCUGGAGACGAAGCUCGUAGCCACCUUGAUGCAGUAAGAAAUCAUACCUUGUGUUUACCUUUUUCUGUAAACUUGAUUUUGACUUCCAACGACCUUAUUCGUGUAGGAUGAUGAAGCCGAAGCUGAUGACCAAAGAUAAUGCCGAAGCCGAAGCUCCUCGGAGAUUUAGAUAGUAGACUGCAGACAGCACUUGAAAAACUUCUGAGAUAACUUUUGUGAAUGUAAACAAAACUUGUUCUUAAUGUAUGCUGUUCAUACCUUGUAAUAUAUCCUUAACCUUUCACUGAUGUAUGAGAAAUGCUUUGAUGUGGACGAAAUUUUCUUUUUUGAGCCGAAGGCGAAAAAACACCUUCCCUUCUUUUCGUACGCAACGAAGCAUAGAAAACAACAUUUUCCUUUUUUCCGAAGCUCUCCUUCAUGGAAAACAACAUUUUCUCUUUUUCUUUGUGCACGAAGCUCUUUUUCCCUUUUCUCUCUCUUUUUUUUCUCUUGCCGAAGCAACCAUUUUAUGCGAUGAAGAUGAUUUUCCUACAUAUGCCUAGAUGAAUGUUUAUGAAUGCAAAUGCUAUGAUGUAAUGUGAUGUGCAAAUGAAUGGCCAAACACGUAUCCGAAGCCAUAUUCAUAGCCGUUAUUUUCUUAAAAACAAUCACACCUUAGCUCUGCAUUCCCUUGGGAACGACUUUGGAGCUUCUUCGCCUUUACUUUUGGCGGAAUCAGCGUUGACUUUUCGCUGUAAGCUCUGCAUUCCCUUAGGAACGUCUUUGGAGCUUCUUCGCCUUUACUUUUGGCGGAAUCAGCGUUGACUUUUCGCUGUAAGCUCUGCAUUCCCUUAGGAACGUCUUUGGAGCUUCUUCGCCUUUACUUUUGGCGGAAUCAGCGUUGACUUUUCGCUGUAAGCUCUGCAUUCCCUUAGGAACGUCUUUGGAGCUUCUUCAUUUUUACUUUUUGGGCACUCGAUGGUGCACUCUCAGCUUUUACAUUUACAUUCUUUGGGGGAUUUUGCUCUUAUAAGACUAAAAAAAAGAAAUUACAUAUGUUGGCCCCAUUAAAAACCUUUCUCCCCCUUUGGAAAGGAAAAGGGUGCCAUGAAAGGAAAAAUAAAAAAUAUGAAAAAUUACAUCGAAUUAUACAUAAUAUCGCCGAAGCUCAUCCGCAUUCCAAGAUCUAGGAAUAUCAUUGCCGUCCAUAUCUUUCAAUCUGUAUGAACCGGGCCUUGAGGAAGAUGCUACUAAGAAAGGCCCGUCCCAUUUCAACUGCAAUUUGCCUACUGUUUCCGGGUUGGCUACCCUCCGAAGCACCAAGUGCCCUGGCUCAAUAUUUUUUAGCCGAACCUUUCUAUCCCGCCAUUUGACUGUUUCAGCUUGAUAUUUAUUAAUAUUCUCCACGGCUUGCAGUCUGAUCCCUUCUAAAGCAUCUUUUUCUAUAGAAUAAGCAGCUUCGCAAUCUGAUUCUGCCGAAGCUACUAUCCUUAUUGAUCCGGCUUUAGCUUCUUCUGGAGUUAUUGCUUCGUCACCGAAUAACAACUUGAAUGGAGUGAAGCCUGUAGAUCUUGAUGUUGUCGUGUUGUGGCUCCACACCACUUUGGUUAGCUGAUCUGGCCAUUUUCCUCUAGGUUGAUUGAAGAUUAGCUUCAUUAUUCCUGUCAUUAUAAUGCCGUUGGCUCUUUCAACGAGUCCAUUUGACUCCGGGUGCCUGACUGAUGCGAAAUGGAUCUUCGUACCAAUUUGGUCACAGAAAUCCCUGAAAGCUUCGGAGUCAAACUGUGUUCCAUUGUCCACAGUGAUAGCCUUUGGCACCCCAAAACGACAAACAAUAUUCUGCCAGAAAAAUUUUUGGAUGGUAGCCGAAGUUAUUGUGGCUAAAGGCUUCGCCUCAAUCCAUUUAGAAAAAUAUUCCACAGCUACCACAACAUAUCUCAGGUUCCCUUGAGCCGGUGGUAACGGACCUAACAAGUCAAGGCCCCACCUUUGCAAUGGCCAAGUGGGUUGUAUGAGCUGUGUCAAGGACGAAGGUUGUUUUUGAUCUCUUGCACAUUUCUGACAACCUUCGCACUUUUGAACCAAUUCUGCUGCAUCCGAAGCUGCCUUCGGCCAAUAAAACCCUUGACGGAAAAUUUUUCCGAGUAACGGCCUAGAUCCAAUGUGAGAUCCACACAGGCCUGCAUGUAUUUCUUUCAUUAACUCUAUACCUUCGGUUCUGGAUAAGCAUUUGAGCAGCGGAGCACAAACUCCAUGUUUAUACAACUCCCCUUCUAUCAUGACAUAUGGGCGAGCUCUUGCUUCUAUCCUCUUAUUAUAAGCUUCGUCAUCUGAAAGAAAUUUACCCUGAAGGUAAGAGAUUAUCUCGGUUCUCCAAUCUUCGCUAAAAACAGGAGAUAUAUUAAGAACUGCUCUUUCAAGAAGUUCCACCGAAGGUGCUUUUAUUGUUUCGAAAAAUACAUCCGAAGGUAAAGGCAGCCCUUGUGCUGCUGACUUAGCUAGCAAAUCAGCAUGCUCAUUUUGUCCUCUAGGGAUAUUUUUGACAGAAAACCCUUCGAAGGAAGCUUCAACUCUUCGAACCAUAUCCAGAUAUUUUUCAAGCUUCGGAUCCUUAGCCUUGCAACUUUUGUCAAUAUGACCCGAAACAACCUGGGAAUCAGUUUUGAGUAUGGCUCUUCUGAUUCCCAUUGCUUUUAACUUUCGAAGACCUAGAAUCAAUGCUUCGUACUCAGCAAUGUUGUUUGUGCAAUUAAAAUCAAGCUUUGCUGCAUAACAAGUUUUGACUUUGGAAGGUGAAACCAACACAGCAGCCGCUCCUGCUCCGAAGGUUCCCCAAGAUCCAUCACAAAACACUGUCCAGGCUUCGUUGUCUUUAUUUGUUUCCUCCUCCUGAGCCCCUGGCGUCCAAUCAGCAAUAAAGUCUGCCAGUGCCUGUGACUGAAUCGAAGAUCUAUGAACAUAUUUAAUACAAAAUUCAUUGAGCUCUGCAGCCCAUUUUCCAAUCCUUCCAGUAGCUUCUCGGUUCCUCAUAAUAUCCUUCAGAGGUUGUGAAGAAGGAACAAUUAUGUUGUAAGCUUGGAAAUAGUGCCGAAGCUUCCUGGAGGCCAUCAAGACAGCAUACAGUAUCUUCUCCAACUCUGUAUAAUUUUUCUUUGAUAAACUAAGGACUUCGGAAACAAAAUAUAUUGGGGCCUGCCUUCUGACUUGACCAUCAAGCUUCUCUUGGACAAGCGCUGCACUUACCGCUGAGUGCGAAGCUGCCACAUAUAAUAAUAAAGGAGCCCCUGGCAUUGGUGGAGUCAGUGUUGUUAGAUCUAUCAAAUACUGUUUCAGUUCUUCGAAAGCCUUCUGCUGGAUUGGUCCCCAUUGAAAGACUUCGGCCGACUUCAGCACUUCGAAGAAUGGUAAAUUUCUCUCUGCUGAUCUGGAUAUGAAUCUAUUGAGAGAUGCCAAUCUUCCUGUCAAUCUUUGAGCCCCCUUCUUUGUAGUUGGUGGCUCCAUCCGAAGUAUAGCUUCAAUUUUACUUGGAUUGGCUUCAAUUCCCUUUGUUGAAACCAAGCAUCCAAGAAAUUUCCCCUUCUUCACUCCGAAGACACAUUUUUCUGGAUUUAACUUUAAGCCAGCUUGCCUGAAACUGGCGAAGGUCUCCUGCAGAUCAGCAAUAUGAUUCUCCUGCUUCGUGCUUUUGACAAUGAUGUCAUCAACAUAAGUUAGCACAUUUCUGCCUAUUUGAGAUUGAAGAACCUUCGCAGUCAUUCGGCUAAAACUUCCUCCAGCGUUUUUGAGCCCCUCAGGCAUCCGAAGAUAGCAAUAUGUGCCACUUGGAGUGAUGAAGCUAGUCUUCGGCUCAUCUUCCUUCUUCAUCCAAAUCUGGUGAUAGCCUGAAUAGCAGUCUAACAGACUCAUGAGCUCUGACGAAGCUGCUGCAUCAACUAAAGAGUCUAUCCUUGGUAGUGGGAAUUCAUCCUUCGGACAAGCCUUGUUAAGAUCUGUAAAAUCGAUGCACAUUCGCCACUUGCCAUUGGCCUUUUUUACCAUAACAGUGUUAGCCAGCCAUUCUGGGUACUUCACCUCUCUAAUGACUCCUGCACUGAGGAGUCUUUUGACUUUGUUGCGAGCACCUUCGGCCUUAUCAUCUGACAUUUUCCGAAGCCUUUGCUUUCUGGGUCUGAAGGAUGGAUCGACAUUGAGCGAGUGCUCGAUAACAUCUCUAUUAACUCCACAAAGAUCAUUGGCUGACCAUGCAAAAACAUCCUUGUUAUUGAACAAAAACCUUAUCAAGGUUUUCUCUUGCUCUUCGGAUAACUGAGAUCCUAACAGCACCUUCUGCUCUGCUAUGUCCUCACAUAAGAGCAUAGGCUUCGGCUGGUCUGCUGAAGCUGCUUUCUCCCUCCUGAACUUGUACUGUUCACAAGCUUCAGCUCCAUCUAUGUUAUGGAUUGCUUUUGAGUCAGUCCAAUUGCCUUCGGCCCUUCUUGCAGCUUCCUGACUUCCAUGGAUAGCAAUGGGUCCCUGAUCCGAAGGUAUCUUCAUGCAAAGAUAGGCAGGAUGAAGGAUUGCUUCGAAGGCAUUAAGAGUACCACGACCAAUAAUUGCAUUGUAAGGAUAUUCCAUGUCAACAAUGUCAAACACAACUUGCUCAGUUCUAGUGUUGUUGAUGAAUCCGAAGGUGACUGACAUGGUGAUCUUGCCCAGUGCUACAAUCUGUCUUCCUCCGAAGCCACAAAGAGGAUGUGUAGCAUCAUGAAUCUUAUCUUCUGGCUCUUGCAUUUGUCUGAAGGCCUUAGCAAAUAUGAUGUCAGCUGCACUGCCUGUGUCAACCAAGACAUUGUGGACCAGAAAUCCUUUGAUAACACAAGAGAUAACCAUGGCAUCGUUGUGUGGGUAAUCUUUAAGCUGAAGGUCCUCUUGAGAGAAGGUGAUAGGAAUGUGAGACCAUCUUGACUUGAUGAAGGGUCCUUGCACCCCAACAUGCUGUACCCUUCUCUGUGCUUCCUUCUUCUGCUUCUUGUUAGCUGGCUCUGAGGACGAGCCACCUGUGAUCGGGAGCACCAGCUUCGGGUCCGAAGCAGCUCCAGUUUGGUCGUUGAACGAAGCCAUCAGCUCAAAAAGUGGAAGUGAGUUCACCGGAGGUGGGCGCCAAUGUUGGGAACUUGUUCUCAAAUGCUAUGAAUUAAGAACAAGGCAACAUAAAAUGUUAAAUGAAAUUGUCCUUCGUCCGCGAAGCAUUAUUCCUUUGAGGAUAAUGAAUCCUAUGCCUUGACAAAGGUUGAAUUCCGAAAGAUGCAAUUGCAAAUGCCAGAAUGCGUGAACAGUAACGGAAUACUGUUCACUAUUUAUAGGCAUAGGACGCAGCCUGUGAGGAAUUACAAGUAUGCCCCUUAUAAAAACUUACAACAUUGACUCAGACCUUUAUGGACUAAAAGGUCAUUCUAUCUUUAAGUCGGUUUGUAAUGCCGAAGCUCUGCGAAGAGGCACCUUCGGCUAUCUUGUACGAACAGCUUCAUCCGAGGAUUACUUCUUUCUAUAAGACCUUCGGCGACGAAGCAUAGACCCAACAAUUACUCUUCUAAGAUUAAGCGUUCAUUGAAAGACUAAUAACUUUAGGUUCUUCAUUACGAGACACCUAGAACAAAUAUAAGUAUAGAAGCAAUAUGAUAACUUUUUAAAUCAUUUAAGUCUAAUCUCACAUCAUGCAAACAAGAAUCAAUUUAAGCAUGUUAUGUCUGCCCACAUAUUCAUCCAAGCACAUUCUAUACAUGAUAUCAUAACUCCCUGCAGCUAACAAAAUUUUGCAAAUAUAAACUCACUGAAAAGAUUAUAACAUUCCCUAGAACUUUUAUUAUAAUGAGUGUCUUGGAAUUGGUUUCCAAACCGAUAAAACAUUGCAACUCUUUUGUUUCAAAACUGAUAAGAUUGAAACAAUGGACAACUAAAAUUCAAAAACCUAUAACUCCUGCUAUACUCAACUUAAACUACAACGAACACGCGUUGGAAAAGUUUUGAAAAUUGUCCACGACUUUUGCAAUAAAGUUGCACCCAAAUUUAUCCUUAUAGCCCACAACUCUGCAUGACCUACAUCUAAACUCAGCCUGAGAUACUACACAUUAGAGAUUCGACUUAUAUCCGGGCAACCACCUCUCCAAAUCUAUUUAACAGACAGCUACAAGUAAAUACCCAUUAAAAAGGUACUGAAAAUACCUACAAGUUUUGCUUAAAGAGAAUUCGCAAAUUUGUGCUCUGCAACUAUCAAAACGCGGUCGAUUUAUUGGUGAUUAUAACGACGCCUAAAGUUUAGACACAACAGUGCAACAACUUCAGAGCAACCUAACUCCAAUUAUAUGCAAUGAGAAUUAGAAACCCAUACUCUUUGAAAAGAUCAUGAAAUUACUAAAACUUUCAUAAUCCACAAAGACCAAAUUAUACCGUCUUCAAUGUCUACUCUUCCUUACAAAAUUAAAGACUCACUCUGUAGAGACACCAACAAAGAUGUUUUAAGAAACCCAUAUCUCUCAAAUGUUUAGACCAAACAUGGUGAUUAAGCAUCCUAUGGAAAGAUGCAGAAACAUACUACAAAACAUUCUAGAUAAGUGAAUCCUGAUUCAGCCUCCAACUAAUUUAAAAUGCCUCCCGAAACCAAACAACACAUUAUCAACAAUAAAAAAAACAAUAUAAAAUGAAACCCAAGUCAUUGGCAAGUGCCAUCAACACUAGGAUUUUCCACUACCAAACUGGGAUGCAACUCCACAAAGUCUUUAAAUAACACUCUACCAAAUAGGUUAGAACACUAAGCACAACAAUCAAUGAAUUCAACAACCUCGUUUGUUAAUGCCAUUAAGGUCAAACAUCCAUGUACCGACAAUGUAUGAAACACCUCACAUACCCGUCUCCAGCUCUAUAAAACAUGGUUGUUAUUACACUAGAAUCCAACUACUAGAAAUCUCCAAAACUAUUCUGUUGACGUGAAGCAAAUGGUGCUCAUGUCAUAUAACAUCUUUUCCCCCUCUCAAAAGAUAUAAAAUUUGCAAUACUCAUAAAGCAAUGGAGGGAUAACAACAAGAAAAAACUAAUGUACUUCUUGACACAGACUCAUGCAAAAGCUUCAUAAAUAUUACUUUCAACACUAAAAUAAUAACACGAUACUAUGCUCAACAGGAGUAAUUGGACUUCAAUAAGAUAAUCCACCUAACCCAACUACUUUGAUUAACCUCACAUACAACAAUACCUCCUAUUAUUGCACUUGAACAAUUUGUACCUAGUGAUGUCAUAGGAUGAAUUCAAAGUAGUAGACAUACAUGAUCUAUCAACCAUCAUUCAUAUAAUAAAAAUCUCCAUCUAAUGCAACAACCACAUCAUUAUAGAGAUAGAUGACUAACAAACAUAAGCAACUUCCAGUUAAACAUUGACUUUGUUUAAGAUAAAGCGGUCCAAAUAAUAAUUCCACAAGCAUGCAUAGAGAACUGAUCAUAUAAAAAAACUACCAUGUAUCAUCGGCGAUUAAAACAAUAUAAAACGGGUUGUCCAUAUCGUCCGCAUGACUAGCCUCCAACAAAUAGAAAUUAUGCAUAACCUUUUUGGCUAUAGAAACAAACCAUAGAAGGAAAACAUGCAUGCCUCUUCAACUAUAAUAUAGACAUAAAAUUCACUUGAAAUCACCCUAUUUAUUAUUAAAGAUAAGGUUGCACACAAUAAGAAAACCUAUCAUGUAAACAUGGUUGGACUUAUCUACCCACGUCAUCUUGCAAAUUCACUUGAGUUCUUCUAGUCUCAAGAUUUCAUAGACAGUACAACAUUGCCUUUGCUCUAUGGAGACAAACCUAUUGUACUCUAAGAUCAAGUUGGCAAGUAGCCACACUAGCCAAAAAAAAAGGUGAGGUGUAAAGCACUGCACCCAUGGAAAUAUUACAUUGAUAAGUUGGGUUGUAACCCAACAGUCAAUCCAACUCAACAACACCAUAAAACUUCAUUGUAUAGUGUUUUCACACUACACCAAGUCGGAUUAGAUCCUCUAUACACAAGCUCAAUAAACAAUCGGUCCUACAAGUACUAGAACCCAAGAAUCCUUUUGGGAAAAAAAACAUCCACAGUCAAGCAUAUAGAAAUAUAUGAUGGUAAUAGCUCAGAGAUUAGUAAACAUUGCAUCCCAAAAAACAUCAUGACGAUAUGUAUAUAAAACAAGUACAUUAGUAGCUUCACUCGCAUAAUAAUUUCAAUAACAACCACAUCAAGAAACCAAUAUUAAAUAGAAGUAACAUUUCAUAUCAAGCAUUACGUCGUUAACGACAUACCUCAUCAAACCAUAAAGGGGUUUGGAGUAAGGAAAUUCUAGUCAUCUAUACAAUAAAAUACUAAUAUGAAAGAUAUAUGAACCCAUACCCUUCCUAUAUGUGCAAGUGUGUCAAAUUUAUCUUCAAAUUGCGUAGAAUCUAAAGCCUAUCCUCUGAUACCAACUGUAACACUCCAGGUUCCACAAACAACCCGGUAUGCUACUGUACUACACUUCCGACGUCCAUAUAUAAAAUUUCGGCAGCAUCCCCUUUGCAAGAUUGCAUAAAAGAGGGAGCAACAGAGUAUAAACAUAUAUCAUGACUAAAACAUACUAAGUAUUAUUACUCGGCUAACAAGGAAAGAUAAACAUACGACCUGAACUGAAUUAACCAGUGCGCAUGACCAUAUAAAAAAAUAAACAAACUUCCUUUGACAAUAAGUUUCUAAUUAAAUCAUGGCUGCGCCUGGGCAGCGUUAUUGUGAGAGUGAAAGUGGACGUGCUGCUACUCCCCUCAUUCCCAACAUGUAUCAAGUACCUGCAUUGAGUAAUGCAAGAGUGAGAUGACACAUCUCAGCAAGUAAAAUAAUAUCAAACAGUUUAACCACAUAAGAACAUUGUUUUACCACCACUUAAUUCCACAACCUUCUUAUUACGAAGGUGCAGCACGUAUACAACGUACAACGCACCUAGUUACCACACCUCGCAGGUAGAAACCACAAUAGUAACAUAGUAAUGUCACACUUCAUAUAUUCCUCAUGAGUGCAAAUGUCUGCAAAUGCAAGGAUGACUUCUGCCUUCAUACCUCUAAGGAUAUGAAGCCGCAUCGUACCCCUCCUCGGGCAACGUACGAUGCUAAAAAUGUACCGGUACGGUCGGACCAUAAGAUCACGACAUAACUUCAAAAUGCAAGAUGGAUGAUGCGAUGUGCAUGUCAUGCCUACAACACUUCAUAUAACAUGAUUCAAAAAGACACUUCAACUUCAUCUAGAUGGGAAUCAACCACAUAUAUCAUUACCAAAUUAUGAUCAUCCACAAUAUUAGACAAUUGAGAAUUAAUACUUCCAAACAAAUAAACUUCAUCAUAGAAUUCAAUGAUUAACAUAAUUAAAACUUAUGCAUACUCAAUGACAGGGAAUAGGAUGCAAACCGAACGGUAGCAACCACCACUGUAUUUACUUGCCUUUACCGGAAGUUCGGGCAAAUCCCUAAGUACGAUCCGGAAGUCCACCACCUGUUUUUGACACCCAACUUAGUACACCAAUUUCACAUAAUCAGGCUCAUAAGCGACACCGCACCUACGCACAAACUCAAACCCCGCCGCGGGUUACAUCUCUCCCUACACCCACCAAACUGCAGCGGCGCUGCUUAAUAAUUUCAUAACUUUAAAAUUAUGACAGCAGUGGUAACAAACAAAAACUCCAGAGGCAUCUACAUAAAAUUCCCCACAAAUUUUGUAUACACUUUAUAAUUAAAUUCCAAUAUCUAAUUAGCCCAAAACAGUCCAGAAGAUGAACCCUGUAAUCUGUUUUUCUUUGUCUUUUGGACAGCGACAUACCCAGAUUCAAACAGCGAUAUCUUUUAAAAUAUAAUUCCAAAUCAUGCGCAUAAGUACUCAUUGGAAAGAUAAGACAAAUCCCUACAUGAUUACCAUACUGGUUAACACUAAUUACCCACGAAAAAUUCCCAGAAACUGCUAAUACCACUGCUGUUCACCCACCUGAAAAAUCUGUUUUUUUGGACAGCAACAUAACCGGAUUCAAACAACGAUAUCUCCUGAAUUAUAAUUCCGAAUCGAGCGCAUAAGUACUUGUUGGAAAGAUAACAUAAAGCCCUACAUGAUUCUCAUACUGAUUAACACUAAUUACUCCCGAAAAAUCCCUAGAAACUGCUAAUACUGCUGCUGUUCAUCCCCUGAAAAAUCUGUUUUUUUGGACAGCCACAUACCCGGAUUCAAACGGUGAUACCUUUCAAUUUAUAACUCCAAAUUGAGCGCAUAAAUACUCGUUGGAAAGGUAAGGUAAAGUUCUACAUGAUCCCCAAAAUGAUUUCCCUUAAUUCCUCACGAAAAAACACAGAAACUGCUAGACUACUGCUGUUCACCCACCACCUAAACUUCUGGACAGCCCCCCUCUACCCCAAUCGCAAACGCAACCUCUAAUCAAUUAAAUUGCAGCGCAAAUGAACAAGGGAUGAACACAAAAAUCACCUUGGAUUUUCCCCCUUUCCUUCCUCCCUUCUUCGCUCCACCAAAACGAUUGAAGACUCGCACCACGACGACGAUGAUCCGAGCGGCAAGGAUUGGCACCUUGGGAGGAGGGGAUUGAGAGGGGGGCGGCUAGGGUUUGGUGGCUGCAAGAAUUGAGAGAGGAAGAGAUGGGCAGGGGGGGCGGCGGCCAAGGGGGAAGAGAAGUG
rnacentral:lncRNA from 1 species